CUGUCGCCGCGGGAAUACGUAGGGUGCAAGCGUUAAUCGGAAUUACUGGGCGUAAAGCGUGCGCAGGCGGUUAUAUAAGACAGAUGUGAAAUCCCCGGGCUCAACCUGGGAACUGCAUUUGUGACUGUAUAGCUAGAGUACGGCAGAGGGGGAUGGAAUUCCGCGUGUAGCAGUGAAAUGCGUAGAUAUGCGGAGGAACACCGAUGGCGAAGGCAAUCCCCUGGGCCUGUACUGACGCUCAUGCACGAAAGCGUGGGGAGCAAACAGGAUUAGAUACCCCCGUAGUCCCUGUCUCUUAUAC
rnacentral:rRNA from 1 species